rnacentral:sRNA from 16 species
AAAAUCAAAAAUAAUUGCAAAUAACAUGGAACAGAAAUUAUACAUAAACAAUUCUUAACGAGUGUGG